rnacentral:lncRNA from 1 species
UGAGCCUUCAUCAUCAUCUGAAACACCUUCUUCAUUGAAUUCAAAUGACAUUUCCCUCAAUCCACCCUUCAAUGACAGCAUAUCACCUACUGCAGACAGUUUUAGUGUUGAUAUGAGUACUUCUCAAGAAGCAGUAGCACCAACUAGAAAAAGUACAAGACAAAAACAACCUCCUAAGUACCUUGAUGCAUAUUAUGUUGACAUACCUUCACAAUCUAAUUCUGUUACCCUUCAUCCAAUAACCAAGCACCUAUCAACUAAACAACUCUCACCUGCACAUAAGGCAUUUGCUAUUGCUUUGUCCCAUAUUCAUGAGCUAAAUUCUUGCCAUCAAGCUAUAAACUAUUCUCAUUGGAGAGAAGCAAUGGACCUGGAACUGAAAGCUUUGCAAGACAAUGGUACAUGGCCCAUAGUACCUCUGCCUUCAAAUUCACAUGUAAUUGG